CUUCUGGAAGAGCAGGAGGAUGGAGCUUACCCUGCACCACCAGACCCUGCACCUGAGACAGUUCCCCCCAUCCCCUGAGGAAUCUCUCUCUGGCUGGAUGUUCCUGCUGCACUCGGGAUCCCGGCGAGAUGAGACAGGCGUGGGCAGUCUCAGCAUCCAGAAGAGAUGGAAUAGUUGCAGGCCAUGUGGGCAGACACAGAGCACCUUUUGUUUUGUUACUGACAAGGAGCACCAAGUUGAGAUUUGAUUUCCGAAAUGGAAAAGGUGAUGGCUUGUCUGAGGAUUUAUGAAACAAAAUACUCAAAAGAAAAAUUGGAUGGCUCCUUUGGUCAUUUCUUCUUGAGUGUUCAUCCAGUUCAGUCUUGCUGUGGUAAUCACCCUUGGAAGUGCUCUGUUAUCUUCACAGUGUCUUCAGAA
rnacentral:lncRNA from 1 species